UUGACACUGAACAUUGAGCCUUGAUGUGUAGGAUAGGUGGGAGGCUUUGAAGUGUGGACGCCAGUCUGCAUGGAGCCGACCUUGAAAUACCACCCUUUAAUGUUUGAUGUUCUAACGUGGACCCGUGAUCCGGGUUGCGGACAGUGUCUGGUGGGUAGUUUGACUGGGGCGGUCUCCUCCUAAAGAGUAACGGAGGAGCACGAAGGUUGGCUAAUCCUGGUCGGACAUCAGGAGGUUAGUGCAAUGGCAUAAGCCAGCUUGACUGCGAGCGUGACGGCGCGAGCAGGUGCGAAAGCAGGUCAUAGUGAUCCGGUGGUUCUGAAUGGAAGGGCCAUCGCUCAACGGAUAAAAGGUACUCCGGGGAUAACAGGCUGAUACCGCCCAAGAGUUCAUAUCGACGGCGGUGUUUGGCACCUCGAUGUCGGCUCAUCACAUCCUGGGGCUGAAGUAGGUCCCAAGGGUAUGGCUGUUCGCCAUUUAAAGUGGUACGCGAGCUGGGUUUAGAACGUCGUGAGACAGUUCGGUCCCUAUCUGCCGUGGGCGCUGGAGAACUGAGGGGGGCUGCUCCUAGUACGAGAGGACCGGAGUGGACGCAUCACUGGUGUUCGGGUUGUCAUGCCAAUGGCACUGCCCGGUAGCUAAAUGCGGAAGAGAUAAGUGCUGAAAGCAUCUAAGCACGAAACUUGCCCCGA
rnacentral:rRNA from 1 species